UAAUGUAUUGUUUUCUUUUGUUUAUUAAUUAAACAAAAAUCAUUUUAAUGGAGUUAAACAUUUUCAGUAGCUAUUGUAUUGUCGGUAUUAAAAGUUUAGCAAUGCCAAUUGGCUUUUUGAUAUUAUUUUCUAUUUUAAUUUUUGCAUACACGUGUAUUUCAAGUGAAGACGAUGAUUUCGAGUAUAUAGAUGGGGAUCCGUUUUAUGAGUGUAUGUUAAAAACAAACGCCACAUAUCAGCAAGUAGAUGAAUUUGUAAAAGAUGAAGAAAAAGGCAUGAAUUUGGCUGAGAAUAGUCCAACCCUGAAGUGUUAUAUUCAUUGUACAUUGCAAAAACUCAAUUUCCUUAAGGGAUGUAGUUUUAAACGUGGCGGAAUGAAAGUUUCAAUUGAAUGGAAAAUUAGAAAUCGAAUUUUUAGAAAUUGUUCUUAUACAUUGAAUGCACUCGAUUUAUAUGAUAAUUGUGAAUGUGGUUAUCAUGCUUUGAAAUGUAUUAAAGAUGUACUACAAAUGUAUAAUUGGUAUCAAUAAUAAAAUGAAACUAAAUUAUUA